rnacentral:lncRNA from 1 species
AUGCACGUUGUCCCCCACAUACUGUCCCCCGGUGUACGGUGUUCCUCAGUGCACGCUGUCCCCUGGUGCACACUGUCCCUCGCACGCUGUCCCCCGGUGCACGCUGUCCCUUGCAUGCUGUCCCCCGGUGCAUGCUGUCCCUCACACGCUGUCCCCCAGUGCACGCUGUCCCCCAGUGCACGCUGUCCCCCGGUGCACGCUGUCCCCCGGUGCACGCUGUCCCUCGGUGCACGCUGUCCCCUGGUGCACACUGUCCCUUGCACGCUGUCCCUCAUUGCACUUGUACCCUGGUGUACGCUGUCCCUAGCACGCUGUCCCCCGGUGCACGCUGUCCCCCGGUGCAUGCUGUCCCUCAGUGCAUGCUGUCCCCCGGUGCAUACUGUCCCUCGCACGCUGUCCCUCAGUGCACGCUGUCCCCCGGUGCACGCUGUCCCCCGGUGUAUGCUGUCUCUCGCACGCUGUCCCCCGGUGCACGCUGACCCUCGCACGCUGUCCCCCGGUGCACGCUGUCCCUCAGUGCAUGCUGUCUCCCAGUGGAUGCUGUCCCUCGUUGCACGCUGUCUCUCGUUGCACGCUGUCCCUUGGUGCACGCUGUCCCUUGCACGCUGUCCCUCGUUGCACGCUGUCCCCCGUUGCACGCUGUCCCUUGCACGCUGUCCCCCGGUGCACGCUGUCCCUCAGUGCAUGCUGUCUCCCGGUACACGCUGUCCCUCGCACGCUGUCUCUCGUUGCACGCUGUCCCCCGUUGCACGCUGUCCCUUGCACGCUGUCCCCCGGUGCACGCUGUCCCUCGCACGCUGUCUCUCGUUGCACGCUGUCCCUUGUUGCACACUGUCCCUCGCACGCUGUCCCUCGGUGCACGCUGUCCCUCGGUGCACGUUGUCCCUCGCACGCUGUCCCCUGGUGCCUCACGCACGCGGCCGUGGGUACCCGGCAGGUCUUGGGCUCAGAACCGCGGCCUGCAGCCCACCCCGGAGUGCCAGCGCCCCCAGUCCCCAGGCCCGGGCUGGGGCGAGUCCGAGCUUCACGCGGGACGGGCCGACGGUUCCGGGAACACAAUCUCGGAGGACGUGA